GACGAACGCUGGCGGCGUGCCUAAUACAUGCAAGUCGAACGCAUUUUCUUUCACCGUAGCUUGCUACACCGAAAGAAAAUGAGUGGCGAACGGGUGAGUAACACGUGGGUAACCUGCCCAUCAGCGGGGGAUAACACUUGGAAACAGGUGCUAAUACCGCAUAAUUCCAUUUACCGCAUGGUAGAUGGAUGAAAGGCGCUUUUGCGUCACUGAUGGAUGGACCCGCGGUGCAUUAGCUAGUUGGUGGGGUAACGGCCUACCAAGGCUGCGAUGCAUAGCCGACCUGAGAGGGUGAUCGGCCACACUGGGACUGAGACACGGCCCAGACUCCUACGGGAGGCAGCAGUAGGGAAUCUUCGGCAAUGGACACAAGUCUGACCGAGCAACGCCGCGUGAGUGAAGAAGGUUUUCGGAUCGUAAAACUCUGUUGUUAGAGAAGAACAAGGAUGAGAGUGGAAAGUUCAUCCCUUGACGGUAUCUAACCAGAAAGCCACGGCUAACUACGU
rnacentral:rRNA from 1 species